UAGGGAAUUUUCGUCAAUGGGCGCAAGCCUGAACGAGCAAUGCCGCGUGAACGAGGAAGGUCUUCGGAUCGUAAAGUUCUGUUGAGAGGGAAAAAGGGUCACCAGAGGAAAUGCUGGUGAAGUGAUAUUACCUUUCGAGGAAGUCACGGCUAACUACGUGCCAGCAGCCGCGGUAAUACGUAGGUGGCGAGCGUUAUCCGGAAUGAUUGGGCGUAAAGGGUGCGUAGGCGGCCUGUUAAGUCUGAAGUGAAAGGUACCGGCUCAACCGGUAUAGGCUUUGGAAACUGGCAGGCUGGAGGACAGGAGAGGGCGGUGGAACUCCAUGUGUAGCGGUAAAACUGCGUAGAUAUAUGGAAGAACACCAGUGGCGAAGGCGGCCGCCUGGCCUGUUACUGACGCUGAGGCACGAAAGCGUGGGGAGCAAAUAGGAUUAGAUACC
rnacentral:rRNA from 1 species